GAUGAACGCUGGCGGCGUGCCUAAUACAUGCAAGUCGAGCGAACGGACGAGAAGCUUGCUUUUCUGAUGUUAGCGGCGGACGGGUGAGUAACACGUGGAUAACCUACCUAUAAGACUGGGAUAACUUCGGGAAACCGGAGCUAAUACCGGAUAAUAUUUUGAGCCGCAUGGUUCAAAAGUGAAAGACGGUCUUGCUGUCACUUAUAGAUGGAUCCGCGCUGCAUUAGCUAGUUGGUAAGGUAACGGCUUACCAAGGCAACGAUGCAUAGCUGACCUGAGAGGGUGAUAGGCCACACUGGAACUGAGACACGGUCCAGACUCCUACGGGAGGCAGCAGUAGGGAAUCUUCCGCAAUGGGCGAAAGCCUGACGGAGCAACGCCGCGUGAGUGAUGAAGGUCUUCGGAUCGUAAAACUCUGUUAUUAGGGAAGAACAUAUGUGUAAGUAACUGUGCACAUCUUGACGGUACCUAAUCAGAAAGCCACGGCUAACUACGUG
rnacentral:rRNA from 1 species